AAAAAUCCUACCAACACGGCAGUUUAUCCCACCAGAAGGAUUCCUCCAGCGUGGUGGGAAAAAAUCAUCUAACCUGGGUUUGUCCAACGUGAAAAAUCCUCCAACGUGGCAGUUUUAUCCCACCAGAAGGAUUCCUCCAACGUGGUGGAGAUUCCUCCAACUUGGAAACUUGUGUUUGUGUGUGCUUUCACCUGCAAAUAUUUCACCACCCUCACGUAGCUUGGACUAAAAAACAAACAAAAAAGAGAAAACUGGUCUUACUUAUGAGUUGGUGUUAGGGAGACGCUUGCGUGCCCGCGUUUCCUGCAUGCUUGCGUGCCUGACCCCCUGCUCAUUGGCCUGCCUGCCUGCCAGCCUGCCAGCUUGUCUGCCAGCUUUGCGCUCUCCUCUUCAUGGCCGCUGCUCGUUUCACCGCCGCACAGGUUCUAGAGCAGAUUUUUUAAGCCAAUCUAAUGACGACUCCGAACCAGAAGAGGAAUCUGAGGAAGACGUGUCAAGUGAAGAAGAGAAAGAAAAAGGAGAAGCAGAAGAAGCAGAUACAGCAGGACCAGAAACAGAUGAAGGACAAAAAGACAGCGAGGGAUGUGAUCUAAGGCUGGACACUUCAGAUGAAGAAGUUGAUGAUGAAGAAUAUAAUGAUGAUGAUGAUGAUGAUGAUGAUGAUGAUGUUGAUGAUGAAGAUGAUGAUGAAAUAAUAGAAAAUGUGCAAAGACUGGAGCAAAUAGAACUCGAGGAUGAGGAUGAAGAAGAAGAAAAAGAAGAAGAAGAAGAUAAAACUUUUAUCUCUAAAGACGGGAAAAUAAAAUGGUCCUCCGCUGUGUUUCGCAAUGGCGAGGAAGCGAGGAACGUCCCUCUUAGUCCUCUUUCUGCCCAGGGACCCACAGAGUACGCGGCGGCUCAGGCGGUCGACUUUGAAUCGACCUUCCGCAUGUUUGUGACCCUGGCGGUGGAAAGGAUCGUCCUGGAGAACACCAACCUGGAGGGCUCUCGAAAGCUCGGGAGCGCCUGGAAGGGCAUGGACGAGGUCGACCUGCGAGCCUACUUGGGCCUCCUGAUUUUGUCCGGCGUCUACAGGUCCCGAGGGGAGGCCGUGGCCAGCCUGUGGGACGCCGAGAGCGGCAGGGCCAUUUUUCGCGCCACGAUGUCGCUCAAGGUGUUUCACGCUUACUCGAAGCUGUUGCGUUUCGACGAUCGCCAAACUAGACCCGCCAGGCGAGCGACGGACAAACUGGCAGCCGUGAGAGAGGUCUGGGACGCGUGGGUGGAGCGGCUGCCCAGCCUCUACGACCCGGGUCCUAACGUGACGGUGGAUGAGCAACUGGUACCUUUCAGAGGUAAAGCAAAAAAAAAAAAAACAUGCAGACACAGACAGACACACACACACACACACACGCAGGCAUGCAGACACAGGCACAGACACACACACAUACACACACAGGCACAUAGACACACACACACACACACACACACACACACACACACACACACACACACACACACACACACACACACACGCAGACAUGCAGAAAACACGUAGCAAGCAGGCUUUCUUUUUUUACCUCUGUAAAAAAAAUAUAUUUUUAAAAAUCUCACCUUUAUUUUUUGUAGGUCGUUGCUCUUUCAGACAGUACAUGCCUAGCAAGCCAGCAAAAUACGGCCUCAAGUUUUGGGUGGCGUGCGACGCCAAGUCCAGCUACGCUUGGAAGAUGCAGCUUUACACAGGCAAGCCAGGAGGAGGAGGAGGAGGAGAAAAGAGAGCUUCUGAAAAAAAGCAGGGCCAGCGGUCGUGCUGGACGUCACAGAAGGGCUCGCCGGGCCUCGCAACGUGACAUGCGACAACUUUUUUCACUUCCUACG
ensembl:lncRNA